rnacentral:rRNA from 1 species
AUUGAACGCUGGCGGCAGGCCUAACACAUGCAAGUCGAGCGGAUGAAGGGAGCUUGCUCCUGGAUUCAGCGGCGGACGGGUGAGUAAUGCCUAGGAAUCUGCCUGGUAGUGGGGGAUAACGUCCGGAAACGGGCGCUAAUACCGCAUACGUCCUGAGGGAGAAAGUGGGGGAUCUUCGGACCUCACGCUAUCAGAUGAGCCUAGGUCGGAUUAGCUAGUUGGUGGGGUAAAGGCCUACCAAGGCGACGAUCCGUAACUGGUCUGAGAGGAUGAUCAGUCACACUGGAACUGAGACACGGUCCAGACUCCUACGGGAGGCAGCAGUGGGGAAUAUUGGACAAUGGGCGAAAGCCUGAUCCAGCCAUGCCGCGUGUGUGAAGAAGGUCUUCGGAUUGUAAAGCACUUAAGUUGGGAGGAAGGGCAGUAAGUUAAUACCUUGCUGUUUUGACGUUACCAACAGAAUAAGCACCGGCUAACCUCGUG